UACGAAGGGGGCUAGCGUUGCUCGGAAUCACUGGGCGUAAAAGGGUGCGUAGGCGGGUCUUUAAGUCAGGGGUGAAAUCCUGGAGCUCAACUCCAGAACUGCCUUUGAUACUGAGGAUCUUGAGUUCGGGAGAGGUGAGUGGAACUGCGAGUGUAGAGGUGAAAUUCGUAGAUAUUCGCAAGAACACCAGUGGCGAAGGCGGCUCACUGGCCCGAUACUGACGCUGAGGCACGAAAGCGUGGGGAGCAAACAGGG
rnacentral:rRNA from 1 species